GAAGAUCUGUAAAACCACCUCAUUACAUGGAGAAGAAUAUUAAACUCAGCGAGGUUAAGCAAGCUGCCCAAGGUCUCACAGCUAAUGCAUAAUGUUGGGACAAAAACUUUUUUCUCACCUAACUCUAAUCCCCCAGAUUCUGUAGUUUACAUAUUAUCCCUAAGCACCCAGUGUUCUGCAGAGGAGCCACCUUCUAGCAAGAUGAAGAAGCCUAGCUCCAACCUCUACUUCAACUGGACCGGUCAAUUCGAUCUGGAGUUAUACAUAAGAUGUUGUCUGUGGCAGGGCCAGGGGGACCUGAAAACCACUAAUCGGCCUGUUAAAAUGAUCAGUCUGCACCAGUAAAGCAGGUUUUCUGUUUGUGGUGACUCUUUAUGGCUUUGUCACAUGCCAUUAAGCUCAGCCUAGCUUCUGGCUACAUUACAGGGAGCAAAAACAGAGCCCAUCUAACCUUUUUCGGCUCCUCCUUCUUGCUUUUUUGCCUCCUCUUCAAUGACCUUCAUCUUUGCAUCAUACUCAUCAGCUAGUGAUUUCCAUUCUACUCUGUUAUUCUGAAGACCACUCAGCAUAGGUGUGAUUUCUUUGUGAAACCGUGAGAACUCCUAAAAGGAAUUUUAGGUCAGAAACUACAUAAAUCAUACAGUUAAUUUUCAGGAUCUUUCAUAUGCAGAGAGUGAGCUGUAAGGAAUUGUUACAGCACUCAGAGCUGCUAGGAUAAGUUUAACCACGGGCCUAUGAAGUUUGGGAAAGAGACACGUGCUGUCUUUACUGCCUGCCUAAGGAAGUGUUCAGUUCGCUCACAUCUGAGUUCCCUCCUUUUAUUCCAGCCCUGAAUGAGAUUAGGGUAAAACCUCAAACUGCUUUGGAGAAACAGUGAUACCCCAAUGGCUUUCCGUAUGGGUGACUUCUAAAUUUUGGUGACAGUUUGAAAGAAAAUUUCUCAUCCAAAUGUUUAUGUAUUUAAUUCAAAUAAUUUGCUUACUUACCUUAUAUACAAAAGUACAAACAAAAUCAAUAAAUCCAAC
rnacentral:lncRNA from 1 species